GAAGUCUUACAAAAUAAGAGAUAAAUAUCGCAGGAUCUAAAAUCUAUCCUUAGCGCCAGAAAGCUGACUGGGAGACGCCACCUAGAUCAAAUCGAAAGCCUCAGAGUUAGGCGGCUCCUCUUCUACACCUGUUCUUCUCCUGUGGGGGGUGUGAGACAGCAAGAGUGAGCUCACACAUGUUCAUCGCUCAACAAGUUGUGGGGAAUAAUGUGGCAUGAACUCACCAAAGGUGGGAGUUCAUGAAGUGUAAGGCUGAUCAAUAAAAUAAAGGCUGGAGCUGAGCAUUGCUUUUAUAAGUUGGUCAAAAUUUUAUUAGCAAUUACUAAGUGUAAAUAAAUACCAAACCAUAGUAAAUAUAAAUAAAAGUAAUAAUAAAAUAAUCCCACAUGCAAUGAAAUGACAAAUUAAGUUUAAGUUCCAUAAAUUAAUCAUGUGAGUGUCCGAGCCGCUCAUGACCGUGAGCACGGCUAGUAUACCAGUUUUACACUCUGCAGAGGUUGCACAUCUUUACCCACAAGUCGUGUUACCCAUUUGCCACGGAGCUGAUCAGACUAUACACCUCUACCUACGAAGCGAGGCAGGGUACCACUACGAGGCCUUUACAAAGUUCCACUAGCUUCAGAAAACCCGCUACAGUUUAUAGGAAGCUCCAGUGCAGGAAUCCCUCGCCUGACCGCCAUCGCAGCAAAAUCAACCCGAGGACCUCCCUACACUGACCACUCCCCUACUGCCCUUGCCCCUUUCGGGUAAGGUAGUCAUCCACUAGCUAUCCUAGUUAAUCAGCCAAGGGCGUCCCAUUAUACCCUUGUGGUAGCACUGUUUUCCCGGGUGGUUCUCCAUGUUCCCAUUAUCAUAAUGAUCUUAUAAUGAACAGUAAUAAUAAACAGAUAAUAAAAGGUAUAACAAUGAGUUAUGAAUAUCUUUAUACCCAAAGCCACAUAAAUCAAUAGCAUGUACUACCCAAAAAAUUAGUAGUAAACCCAGUGGUGAAACAAGGUAUAAAGAUAGUCAAAAUCUAGGGUAACCUAUUGCGUCCCAUCAAAAUUAACCUAUGCAGAUCAUUAUGAUUAAUAAGAAUAUGGAUGGGUAAAAGAAGUGAUCAAGGGCACAACUUGCCUUCAACGAGCUCCUGCUCAGCAGUCUAUACCAGCUGAACCUCAGGAUCUUCAGUAGCUUGCUCGUCUACUCGCAUCAAAACAAUACAUACAUAGUAUAGCAAAAAUUAACAUCACACCAAACAUGUAAAUAAAAUAUAUAGUAAUAAUCUAGACAUUAAGAUAAGAUCAUAGGAACUGGAAUUAUUAAUUUUGGAGUUAUGGAUUUUAAGUUAUAAAUUUCCAAAGGUUUUAUGUGCUUGAAAUAGAAUUAAGUGAGAAAUUAUUUUUCUUACUGUUUUAAUGUCAAAACAGAGACUCUAAGUGGUAAAGAAUAAUAUUACAAAAUUUUAGAAACUGGAAUGGGGUAAUUUGGAGCUUAUAUGAAUUUCCUAUGAUUUAUUAAAGUUCUAGCACUUAUUUAUAUACCAAAAAUCCCUUUAUAAAUUAAUUUCUCUGAUUUUUCUUCUCUCUGGUCUGGGCGCAACAAUACUGAGAAAGGCAGGGACCUCGGGGUAAAUUAUCCAAGACACAGGGCACAAUACACUGGACGGCGGGUUUAUUUUUAAUAACGAUGGAGGCUCAUAUGCAAAUGCGUGACCGCGAAGGGGUAUGCACGGUUUCUGGCCGCCAGAUCGCGAAUCAAGGGCCACGAUUAGAUCUAGGUUAUCAUCAACCAGUACACGAUGACCGCCCACGGAUUGAGGAUCUACGGCCCGGAUCUACUCACCCCAUCUUCCUCUCUACACCGUUCAUCACAAAUGGAUGCCUCAGAUUUAAUCACGCGAAACGAUAUGAUUUGGUCUAAUCUAGACCGUCGAUGGCCAUCUAACGGCUGAGCGUCGUCUCCUACAUCGCCCAUCACCCGACCGAACACCCAGCUGCGGCGUCCACCAAACACGACCAAGCCAUAGCCGGCCGCACCUAGAGCUCGAGUCUCGCUUGUAAACUUCACUCCGACAACCGCGAAACGAAGAGCAGUGGAUCGCGAGACUGGUACAUGAGUUCUCACCACGGUUGGUAGCGCAGACAGCCCUGGCCACGGGAACCUGCGGAUUCACCAACACCGGCAAUGUAUUUCACGAUCUCCGGUGAUCUUCCCCUUCAAUUGCGCCCACACCCGGCUUCAACACGACCAACACUUCCAAUUCAAUUGACCCUGACCACCCAGCAGACCUCGGACGACGAUGCAACACACGACGACAGGCCCGAAUCGCUCCCUCGCGGUGGUGUCUGGCGGCGGGAUGGUGGAGAGUUUGGCUCGGCG
rnacentral:lncRNA from 1 species